AACCAGGGUGGGUGAACCGGAAACGCCGUACUGCUUGUUAAGCGAUGCUUCUACCGGGUAGAGGGGGUAUUUUCCGUUCAUCCAGGUAUUCUGGUUG
rnacentral:tRNA from 1 species